GGGAGAGGGGUAGUUUUUCUUUGAGUUCCUCCUCUCUGCGGCUGCCUUAGCGCAUGCUCGUCGUGGGAGAAUUUUGGUGUUUGCACCAAAAGGAGACCGGCGAAUGGGUGAGUAACGCGUAGGCAAUCUGCCUGGGGAGACGGGGAUAACCCACCGAAAGGUGAGCUAAUACCGGAUGAUGCAGCGGGGUCGCAUGACCCUGUUGUUAAGGUUUCGGCCACUGGGAGAGGAGCCUGCUUGCCAUUAGCUAGUUGGUGCGGUAACGGCGCACCAAGGCGAUGAUGGCUAGGGGGUCUGAGAGGAUGAUCCCCCACACUGGGACUGAGACACGGCCCAGACUCCUACGGGAGGCAGCAGUGAGGAAUCUUGCGAAUGGGGGCAACCCUGACGCAGCCACGCCGCGUGCCGGAAGACGGCCCUAUGGGUUGUAACGGCUUUUAGGUGGGAAGAAUCUCCCGAAUUCGUUCGGGACUGACGGUACCGCCAGAAUAAGCACCGGCUAACUCCGUGCCAGCAGCCGCGGUAAUACGGAGGGUGCAAGCGUUGUCCGGAAUUAUUGGGUGUAAAGGGUGCGCAGGCGGAAGCCUACGUCGAGGGUGAAAGACGGCCGCUUAACGGUCGCAGUGCCUUCAUACGGGGUUUCUUGAGUCCGGAAGAGGUGGUGGAAUUCGUGGUGUACCGGUGAAAUCAUAAGAUACGAAGAACACCGGUG
rnacentral:rRNA from 1 species